AGUCCCGAGGAAACUCCAAAAAGUAGAAUGGGAUUAAUCUUGAAGGUUUCAGGGAUUGGUGAACAGUUAUGUUCUGUUUUGAUGGUGAGUAGAUCUUUGUCUUGCCAGAGGAGACCCAUCCAUGUGUAAGUGAGGGGAUAUGUGGUGGAAGGAUUAAGGUGUUUAGUGUGGAUGUGCCUUGAAGGAAGAUGAAGAAUGUUCCCCCCACCUUGCUCCCCACAGCCCCCACAUUGUCAGAGGACCUGCAGGUGCCUCAUGGCCCUUGAAUGGACUUCUUUCCCAGAAAUUCACCGGCUUCUCAAUUUCUUUCCUGAUCUUUCCAAAAACCUCACAGGUAACGCAGACAAACCUACCGCUAUUUCCAUUUCAGCUUUAUACUCCUUCAAAUUAUCUGAUAAACCAGAUAUUCCAUUCAAAACCUUCCCCAUGGGAUCUGCAGCUUGCCACUGCUGUAGUCAGCCAUGCUGUCAUAUGAACAGGGCGUGCUGGAGGAAUCAGCGCACCCUGUGGACCCUGAUUAACUGUCUGGCAGGGAUUAUUCACACUGCUGCAGCAGCAUUUCUGCUGCCGCUGGGUAAAACGAGAGCUCCCAGGAGCAUUAGCACAUGCUGAAAACAAAUACUGAUGCUCUGAUCUGCUGGAGCAAAACAUCUCAUCCCUACUCUUCUACUAAGACCUAGCUGAGCACUGGACCAUUGCAAUGGAAACAGCCCGUCAUUUAAGACUUCAGACCAGUACACCUUAUGUAGAUGUUUUAUUUCUUUUCUGUUCAACUGAAAUACAGUUGGUAUCUACAUUCCACUCCAGUGCUGCAAGAGUCAGAGAGGAAUUAUUUUGUUAAGCAACUCACAAAGCGUGAGGAGUUGUCAUUCCUCACAGUCUUGGCAUUUCCAAAGGCCUCCAGCAGUGGGUUGGCGCUGAUGAUUUGAUCCUCAAGCGUUCCCUGCAGGGUGAUAAUCAGUGCUAGUUAUCCUUUCCAAAAAUCAUGUCAGGAAGAAAGGAAAACAUUGAUCCCAAGGUGUAUCUAAUAAAUUACCUGCAUUUUGCCUGAUGAUUGUUCUUCCUUUUUCUUGUCUCCACUGGCUGCAAUUGUUGCAAAGUACUGGAUGACACGCUUGGUGUUCACAGUCUUCCCGGCCCCGGAUUCUCCACUGCCAAAGCCAAGAGAGAAGCAGAGGGUGCGUGGUCAGGCAGGAGGGGCCCUGGCACCGGGCAGCCCUGCAGGGACCCGUGCAGGGGGGUACCUACGUGAUCAGGAUGGACUGGUUCUCACGAUCUGUGAACAAGGAGAAACACAGUACAUAAAACUCAGUGAACAAGAGAGGAAGAAUGAAACAUAGUCAGGUAAGUCUAAUCUUUUGCCUGAUGUCAGCUGCAAUCAAACAAGCGAAGCACAUCACUGAGUACAGAGAUAUCUUUCAUUUAAAAGAGUAGAAAGAACACUAUGAAGAUAGCAAACUCCAACAGAUGCGUAUGUCAGAUCCAAGAAAACUUUGAAAAAGCCUCUUCACUUUGCUGAGAUAGGGUAUCCCUUAAAAGAAUUUAAUGGCCCAGGGCCCCUGAGGCAGACAGCCACUCACCAGUCAGCAUGAACUGAUAGGCGUUGUCAGAGAUGGAGAAGAUGUGUGGAGGGGCCUCCUGGCGCUUCUUGCCUCGGUAGGCCAACACCACCUCGGGGUUGUACACCGGCAGCCACUUGUAGGGGUUGACAGUGACGCAGAAGAGACCCGAGUAGGUCUGCAAGGAAGGGACACAGCACGUUGCCUUGCCCUGAGCCUGGCCCAGCAGCUCCUGAGGCUGCCCAGAGGAAGCUGCUGCUGCCACUUACGUAGAUCAUCCAGGCUGCGUAACGCUCUUUGAGGUUGUACAGCACAGCGGGUUCGUGCAGGUGGGUCAUCAUGGCCAUGUCCUCGAUUUUGUCAUACUUGGGAGGGUUCAUGGAGAAGAUUUGAUCUUCCUUCACAGUCAGGGUCUGUCAGAGGAAGAAGGAUACACAUGUCAGCUAAAAAACCAGAGUGGGGAUCAUAUGAUUUCCUUGACUCUUAUUUUUGACUCACCUCUCCCCCUUCAGUCUUGACAGUGACUUUGCCUGAUUCCUUGCUUGUGAUUGUCCCUUUCACAAAGGAUUCCUUUGCAUGUACCACGAAGACAGAUGUCUUGGCAUCGAAAGGUUUGUUCUGGGCUGCAAUUCUCUCCUUCUCUGACUUUCGGAGGUAAGGAGCUGCCUCCCCAAAGAUGGCCAUCUCCGCAUCCGUAGACAUGGCUGCGGUUUAUGGAGGGGCUUGUCCGCAGAGAACACUGUGGAAGAGCAGAUACGUUACUCAAAUUUGCCAGCACUUGUUAGGAGAAGAAAAGAGAAGUUGUGGAGAAAAAGAAACUAUAUUAAUACAUCUUGUAGCCUUUUGGAAGGAAUUGCGAAUUUUUGCAUUGGUGCAAUUCAAUAUUUUUGGAAAAGGUCAAAAUUAUAUUUAAGGAGAUUAUUUGGCCUUUACUGAAAUCACAUUUAAAUAAUUUAUAGAUACUUAGAAUUCAACUAUUUAGGCACUGUACUAUGGAAUUAAGAACCUCAAAAAUCUCUUCAACUGCUGAAGCACUCUUAAAAUUAAUUUGGAAAUAUUAUAAUGCUCUUUUCUCACAAUUGAUAGUUUUUUACAAAGAUCAGAAUGCUCAUACUCCACUGUCUGAACUUCACACUGAAAACUCUAGCUUCUUAAUGACUCAGUUUCGGUAUUUAUAACUUUUUUAUAAUGGCAUUAAUAAUAAAAUUUUCUCUAAUUUUAUUGACUGCUUGAAUCCAGGCAUAAAUUGCAACAUGACUGUCUAAGAUUAGUGUUGUUCAAACCACACUGAGA